rnacentral:sRNA from 1 species
GCCAGGUGCAGUGGCGCAUGCCUGUAAUCCUAGCAGCUUGGGAGGCUGAGGCAGGAGGACCAUAAGUUCAAAGCCAGCCUCAGCAAUUUAGCGAGGCUCUAAGCAACUCAGUGAGACCCUGUUUCUA